rnacentral:rRNA from 1 species
AUACGUAGGGGGCGAGCGUUGUCCGGAAUGAUUGGGCGUAAAGGGCGCGUAGGCGGCCUGUUAAGUCUGGAGUGAAAGUCCUGUUUUCAAGAUGGGAAUUGCUUUGGAUACUGAUGGGCUUGAGUGCAGGAGAGGUUAUCGGAAUUCCCGGUGUAGCGGUGAAAUGCGUAGAGAUCGGGAGGAACACCAGGGGCGAAGACGGGUAACUGGACGGCAACUGACGCUGAGGCGCGAAAGUGUGGGGAGCAAACAGGAUUAGAUACCCUGGUAGUCCACACCGUAAACGAUGAAUGCUAGGUGUAAGAGGUAUCGACCCCUUUUGUGCCGGAGUUAACACAAUAAGCAUUCCGCCUGGGGAGUACGGCCGCAAGGUUGAAACUCAAAGGAAUUGACGGGG